GGUCUCUUUCUCCAGGCAGAAACUGACAGAACCAGAGGACAGUCUUAAGCUGGGUCAAGGGAAAUACAGGUUGGAUACUAGGAAAAAGAUUUUACAGAUAGGGUGAUAAAGUUCUGGAAUGGUCUGCCCAGGAAAGUGGUGGAGUCACCAUGCCUGGAUGUGUUUAAAAAAAGACUGGACGUGGCACUGGGUGCCAUGGUUUAGUUGAGGUAUUAGGGCAUGUGUUGGACUCAAUCAUCUUGAAGGUCUCUUCCAACCCAGUGAUUCUGUGAUUCUCAACCAGUUCAUCUCUGUUUGUGAAAAUCAGAUCCUGAAGAGCAUCUCUUCUCUUCACCUUCUCAGUCAGCUGCAUCAGAAUUAUUAUUAUUAUUAUUAUUGUUGUUGUUGUUGUUGUUGUUGUUAACUUUGUAAUCCUAUUUUUGCAUUAUUGUCCAUCAAUGCACUCUAGAGGUCUCUUGGAUUGCUCUUUCUAGCUGUAUCCAGGCAUUGCAGCACUCCAGCUGUGUGAGAGUAAUUUGCCUCUUAAUCAGAGAUUUCAAAAAUCAGGCUUCAUCUGCUGAAGAAUUCAAAGAAAUCACUCGGAACAAGGGUCAUCCCAAAACAAAAGCAAUUCAAGCAGCCUAUCUGAGAGGAAGAGGAGGAAGGAAGAAGGAAGGAGACUUAUUUCAUCUUCUGCACUGCAGAUCGUUUUUACAUCAUCCCAGAUUAUGCAAUAUACCAUGGCAGGGACUGUGAAGCAUGAGUUCAUGGAGAAAGGGCACUUUCAUUAGCACUGCUGCAGUGUGUGCUCUCAGAUGUCUGAGGUGGAAAGGUCACAGCCACAGACUUCACAGCACCUCUGUCUGGCCUGUCUACACCCACCCCUGCUUAUCCAGAGUUAUGAGGAAGAGAGGUUAAAUGCUUUCAUAUGAGGUGUGUGUUUAUCCUGGUGGCAUGCAAAGAAGAAUCCCGUUAAAUUAAGUAGCUCCUUUCUUAAGAAUGGCAAUUACUGUGAAGCACAGAUUAAAGUAAGAUUCCAUGAAUUAGGGAUCUGAUUUCAUUUGGCAGUGAUGUUUUACAAUGUGUAGUGUCAAACACUAUAUAAUGUCAAUGAUAAAGAG
rnacentral:lncRNA from 1 species